GAUUAACGUUGGCAGUGUGCCUAACACAUGCAAGUCGAACGAGAACGGGAUAUAGCUUGCUAUAUUUGUCAGCUAAGUGGCGCACGGGUGAGUAAUGUAUAGGUAAUAUGCCUCUUACUAAGGGAUAACAAUUGGAAACGAUUGCUAAUACCUUAUAUGCCUUUAAGACUAAAGUCUGCAAGGGAAAGAUUUAGUGGUAAGAGAUUAGCCUGUAUUGUAUCAGCUAGUUGGUGAGGUAAUGGCUCACCAAGGCUAUGACGCAUAACUGGUUUGAGAGGAUGAUCAGUCACACUGGAACUGAGACGCGGUCCAGACUCCUACGGGAGGCAGCAGUGGGGAAUAUUGCACAAUGGACGAAAGUCUGAUGCAGCAACGCCGCGUGGAGGAUGACACAUUUCGGUGCGUAAACUCCUUUUAUAUAGGAAGAUAAUGACGGUACUAUAUGAAUAAGCACCGGCUAACUCCGUGCCAGCCGCCGCCGUAA
rnacentral:rRNA from 1 species